rnacentral:rRNA from 1 species
CAUGCCGCGUGCAGGAUGACGGCCCUAUGGGUUGUAAACUGCUUUUAUACGGGAAGAAAUGCGCCCACGUGUGGGCGUCUGACGGUACCGUAAGAAUAAGGACCGGCUAACUCCGUGCCAGCAGCCGCGGUAAUACGGAGGGUCCGAGCGUUAUCCGGAAUCAUUGGGUUUAAAGGGUCCGUAGGCGGGCCUGUAAGUCAGGGGUGAAAGUUUGUGGCUCAACCAUAAAAUUGCCUUUGAUACUGCAGGUCUUGAGUCAUGGUGGGGUCGCCGGAACAUGUGGUGUAGCGGUGAAAUGCAUAGAUAUCACAUAGAACACCGAUCGCGAAGGCAGGUGGCCAACCAUGUACUGACGCUGAUGGACGAAAGCGUGGGUAGCGAACGGGAUUAGAUACCCCGGUAGUCCACGCCGUAAACGAUGGAUACUAGCUGUGGGGACUUCGGUCUCCGUGGCCAAGCGAAAGUGAUAAGUAUCCCACCUGGGGAGUACGUUCGCAAGAAUGAAACUCAAAGGAAUUGACGGGGGCCCGCACAAGCGGUGGAGCAUGUGGUUUAAUUCGAUGAUACGCGAGGAACCUUACCAGGGCUUAAAUGCAGGCUGCAUGGGGUAGAGAUACCCCUUUCUUCGGACCGCCUGCAAGGUGCUGCAUGGUUGUCGUCAGCUCGUGCCGUGAGGUGUCAGGUUAAGUCCUAUAACGAGCGCAACCCCUACCGUUAGUUGCCAGCAUGUCAAGAUGGGGACUCUAACGGGACUGCCGGUGCAAACCGUGAGGAAGGUGGGGACGACGUCAAAUCAUCACGGCCCUUACGUCCUGGGCUACACACGUGCUACAAUGGCCG